GCUGGUGUAGCUCAGUGUUAGAGCGCUUGCCUAGCAUCUGCAAGACCCUGGGUUCCAUCCCCAGCAUCAUAA
rnacentral:tRNA from 1 species